rnacentral:rRNA from 1 species
AGAGUUUGAUCCUGGCUCAGAUUGAACGCUGGCGGAAUGCUUUACACAUGCAAGUCGAACGGCAGCGCGGGGCAACCUGGCGGCGAGUGGCGAACGGGUGAGUAAUAUAUCGGAACGUACCCUGGAGUGGGGGAUAACGUAGCGAAAGUUACGCUAAUACCGCAUACGAUCUAAGGAUGAAAGUGGGGGAUUCGCAAGAACCUCAUGCUCCUGGAGCGGCCGAUAUCUGAUUAGCUAGUUGGUGGGGUAAAGGCCUACCAAGGCAUCGAUCAGUAGCUGGUCUGAGAGGACGACCAGCCACACUGGAACUGAGACACGGUCCAGACUCCUACGGGAGGCAGCAGUGGGGAAUUUUGGACAAUGGGCGAAAGCCUGAUCCAGCAAUGCCGCGUGAGUGAAGAAGGCCUUCGGGUUGUAAAGCUCUUUUGUCAGGGAAGAAACGGUGAGGGCUAAUAUCUCUUGCUAAUGACGGUACCUGAAGAAUAAGCACCGGCUAACUACGUGCCAGCAGCCGCGGUAAUACGUAGGGUGCAAGCGUUAAUCGGAAUUACUGGGCGUAAAGCGUGCGCAGGCGGUUUUGUAAGUUUGUCGUGAAAGCCCCGGGCUCAACCUGGGAAUUGCGAUGAAGACUGCAAGGCUUGAAUCUGGCAGAGGGGGGUAGAAUUCCACGUGUAGCAGUGAAAUGCGUAGAGAUGUGGAGGAACACCGAUGGCGAAGGCAGCCCCCUGGGUCAAGAUUGACGCUCAUGCACGAAAGCGUGGGGAGCAAACAGGAUUAGAUACCCUGGUAGUCG